UUCCGACUAGCAUAUACCGACAAUAGCCCGUUCGCUAUUUGGAUUGUUUUAUUACGAAACUCGGUGAGCAAUGGGUUGCUUCAUAUUUAAUUGUAUAUUUUAUAUGAUUUGGAUAUUUCUAUUAAAAGGGUUUAACACAACGCCAAUAACGUUAAACUUGACCACGGAUGUAAAUGAUGUCUUCGUCAACAGCAGCAUCACGUUAACAUGCUCAACGUCAUCUACGCCGGUUGCUGUUACCUGGUUCAAAAUAGAAAAAGGAUCAAAAGGUGUGGAAACGGUCAUUAGUCAAAAGUGAGUGAAAGAAACUAAUUCGUGUCAAACAAACAACAAUGCUAUGGAGUGUCAUCACAGGUCUAUUCAUGUUCUAUAAAGUCGGUGAAUGUAUCAAAUGACGGUCAACGCUGGCUGUGCAAGGCUUUUAUUUCGAAUGUGAAUAUUGGAAGUAACAUCUACACAAUCAGAUUAGUAUUAAGCCGUGGCUUGUCAGUUUCCAAUCGUGUUGGAAUUUUAGUUGGAGUAAUUGGAGUGACAGUCAUCACAGUUAUCAUAGCUAUUGCCACGGCCUGUAUCUGCAAAAACAGAUUAAAGGAACAUUGCCUAACGAAAAGGACCUCAAGGACCUCGUUGACAAAUAUGGAAAUUUACUAUAAGGAUCUUAUCUGAGGACAGGGCAACAAAGACGCCUCAACACCAGAUGGAAGUUAUGCAAUCUGUAUAAUCGACUCAUCACAAUCCCGUAAUGCCAAUCAGUACCAAACACUUGUGGAUCUUGAUGGUCGUGAUUACUCGAUUUUGUCGGCUUGUAAUGCACAAAGAGACAAUACCACAUCUGCAAAGAUAUCCGCAUCGGGGCAAACUGAUGUUUCAACGACCAAUCCAGAAUAUGUAAAUUUACAGUUGUUCACUAAUUGAC